UACGUAGGGCGCAAGCGUUGUCCGGAAUCACUGGGCGUAAAGCGCACGUAGGCGGAUUCGUAAGUCAGGGGUGAAAUCCCGGGGCUCAACCUCGGAACUGCCUUUGAUACUGCGGGUCUUGAGUCCGAUAGAGGUGGGUGGAAUUCCUAGUGUAGAGGUGAAAUUCGUAGAUAUUAGGAAGAACACCGGUGGCGAAGGCGGCCCACUGGAUCGGUACUGACGCUGAGGUGCGAAAGCGUGGGGAGCAAACAGG
rnacentral:rRNA from 1 species